rnacentral:rRNA from 1 species
AUUGAACGCUGGCGGCAGGCCUAACACAUGCAAGUCGAGCGAGCGGCGGACGGGUGGGUAAUGUAUGGGGACUGCCCGAUAGAGGGGGAUACCUACUGGAAACGGUGGCUACUACCGCAUACUAUCGGAUAACCCAUAUGGGAUUAGCUCGUAGGUGGGGUAAAGGCUCACAUAGGCGACGAUCUCUGGCUGGUCUGAGAGGAAGAUCAGCCACAUCGUGACUGAGACACGGCCCAGACUCCUCGGGAGGCAGCAGUGGGGAAUAUUGCACAAUGGGCGCAAGCCUGAUGCAGCCAUGCCGCGUGUAUGAAGAAGGCCUUAGGGUUGUAAAGUACUUUCAGCGGGGAGGCGUUACCCGCAGAAGAAGCACCGGCUAACUCCGUGCCAGCAGCCGCGGUAAUUC